GUGCUCCCAACCCCCAGGCCCUAUUUCACUGCCACCCUUCUCUGCCCCCUAGGAGAUGCGAAGGCUGGUGUUUCCCCGAGACGUGCCCAUGAGCUCUGACGCACAGAGAGUGGGUCCUUCGUCCCUCAAAGACAUCAGACUCCAAGAUUUACCCCUGUCUUCCACAGAGCUGGGCUUGGGGAAGGAUGACAAGCCCCAUGAAAGGGAGAAACCAGUAAACCACACUAAAACACCUCUAUUUCCCCCGAUAGUCAAAGCAACAAAAUAUAAAGACAUGAAAUAAAAAUUACAAAACCGCGUUCUGACCCCUUGCUGCGAGACUUCGCAUCAAAGCAGUUAGUGCAUAGGAACCCAGGAAUGCUGAGAUGCUCUCACACCUGACAUGGUGCCCCCCGUGUGAAUACCUUGGGGAGGGCACAGCCAUCAGGAACUGCCUCGCGCAACUAGAACUGCAUCCUCAAUGAGAACCCUUUCUCAGAAACCUGAAAAUGAACUGGGCAUUUUGGCAGAUGCCUGAAAUCCUAGUGACGUAGGAGGCUGAGGCAGGAGGAUCUCAAGUUCAAGGACAGCCUCAGAAACUUAGUAAGACCCUCUGCAAUUUAGCAGGACCCUGUGUCAAAUUUUAAAAAAAAAUUCUGGGGAAUGUAACUCAGUGGUAAAGCACCUCCGGGUUCAAUCCCCAGUACAGAG
rnacentral:lncRNA from 1 species